AGGGCAUUGGUCAAUCCGGGUGAUUGACACGUUUAUAGCCAAUAGAAUCGACGGACAAGCAUCGAAACCCCUCCCACGGACACCAUUCGCUAUCUGCGAGGGGGCGAACCCACUGUGACGUCUUUUUUCCCCGACAUUUGACAUGCGACUUCCGACUGUGUGGUCGAAGUAGGACGGACCAGGUGGGAAAACUUCUUGAAAUGACGGAAUCGGACUUAUGGAUCAAAACACGAACUUGUCCUGCAAAUCCUUCGACGAAUUAUACGUCUAAAGAUUGACACCAGGUGUGAACCGUCUUCCCCAUUACAACAGAAAACACAGAGCGGGCGAGGCGUGUGUGGGAUUGUCCGACCUUGGCCGAGGUCCAGUGAACGAGUCGCCCACACCGCUGGACCGGAGCCAACACCCCCCCCCCCCCCCAUGUCAUCGAGGACAUCGUUAUGUCUGUUACCAUGUAACCCAUUAGAUCUUUUCUCAUCUCGCAAGCUGCGGCAAGACCAGGAGCAAGACGCAAGAAAGCAUCCUGCUGUCAUCUCAAGUCGUGUGAUUUGUCUCCGUGAAAUGAAUCUGGCGGCCGCGACGCUUCGGAAUCACAGCAGCAGCGGCGGCGGCAGCAUCUGUUUUCUCGCUCCUUCUCUCGGCCGUGGCGAGUCACAGUCUGCACUGUGCAGCGGUUGUGUUGUCCAGCUGUGUGGGAACGAGUGAGAUCUCUGCAUCUCUUCUUCGCCUCCCGCCACCUCUCGCUCAAUCUUCUCUCAAUCUGCGAUAGAAAAACGUUGCACACUGGCAGCGUCGAAUCUCAGCAAGAAGAGAAAGGAGCCAAAUCAGUUGACCCGGGACGUUCAGGGGAGAUAUCCCCUCCAUUUGCUGGGUUCAGUAUGUGGUAUGAGGUCGCACCAGAAGAGACGAACCAAUCAGCCUGGAGCUGCAGGAGCCGUGGGGUCCGCCUGCUGGGAGGACGGGGAGCUUUCACGAUUAAUUCCCGGACUUGUGCGGGGGGAAGCACAAACAGCUGGGAAAAUAUUCCGCGCCACGGGCGACGCAUUGGCCGUGAGCGGACUCCCCAGGGACGUCGGAGUCUAUCUGAGAAGCCGCCUGAGAAGUUCCCCGAAAGCUUUGCACAACCGCAACUCACCGAGAGUGAACUCGUCAGCAGUGUGGUCAGAUGGACGCUAGUGAGACAGCAACGCAUUUAUUUAUUACCCAUGUAGCAGUUUCACAACCACUGUGGGAUGGACAAUGAGGAAAAUACAGGAGUUGGGUUUUAUUUUCAGAUUGUCCGCAGAGGUGGUGAACUCUUAUUUGAGUCAGUGUGCGUACAUUUCACCGAAUUUUUCUUUUUUGAUAAUUGAAAACCAAAAAUGGUGAUGUUGAAUGGGUCUUUGUAUUUUACUUUUUAGAUUUGAAUUGUCAUUGUAAGUCUGAUAGCAGCUCUUCCGUGUGUGGCUGAGACAGCAUAAAUAUAGCAGCAAUAAAAAGUGGACAAAAUAUAUAUUUUUAAUGUACAAGAGAUCUACACAAAUAUAUUCAUAAACACAAACAUAUUAGUGACCGAUAGGAAAGGUGGGGAAGGUCCUGGCAGGAGCACACUGAUGACAUCAUACAGUAGUUUACAGUCAGAGGAGAUUUCAUGCAGCAACAUUAGCGGCUCGUAAAAAAAAAAUGUUCUGCUGAUUAAAAGUGAAGAAGAAAUGAGGAAGACAGGUCAAAUUACAAAUAGAACAAUUUACAUUUCAAACGUAACAUUUGAAAUCUGAUUUCUGGAAAUCUGGAGCAUUUUUGAAGAUUAUGAAACAGCCAAUAUUGAGCCUGUGGGUACUUUUCUACUUUUGUUCAAUGGAUCAAGUAAGUGAAUUAGUAAUAUAAGAAGGAAUAAGGUUAUCACCUCUUCCCUGGUUUCAGCACUGACUGUCCCGUAACAGCUGCGCCCCAUCACUACGAAACACUGCAAGUGGCAUUAGCGUCCGAUCGCGUGGAGAAUCUUCUUCAUCACAAGCGAGUGGACCCGCACUCUGCACCCAGUCUCAACUGUUAUCGUCUGGCCAGUGGGGGGGGGGUGUGUUUCCAGCCUGUGCGUGCGCCGGCUAAUGGAACGGAGAUGAAACACUGUGUACGCUUGAUAGCGUCUGUUUGCGCGAGCCGAAACCUAAAUGGGCCGUCGAGAGGCGCAGAACAGGAACGCGCUCGGUCGGGACGGAGGGCGAAUGGAAGACGUUCGGGCGCUAAAAGCAUCUGACGCAAACUAUAUGAAGAGGAUGACAAAAAGGGUUUUGUAUUUAGAUCUGAAACGUCUUUUUGGCGGCUUAAGCCUAAUGCACAGUGGCCCCCGCCAGAUAGUGCAAUGCGGAUUAUUUGGAUUACGCGUGAGAAAUGGGCGGAAAGGUCAACGAGGAGCCGCCGGGAGCGGGGGUUUUUUUUAAACUUUUGUCUAUGUUACGUAACUCUACGGUAUUUUUUUCUUUCCUGUUGUUUUCCCCUAAAGGUCAGAGGUCAGAGCAACAGCAGGUCGUAGCCUUGUGAGCCAGGAUGCUACAGAAUGGUAGAGAAUGGUCAAUUUUAAAAAACGUCUAAUGAUUUAUUUAUUGGAGCUGCGCAAAAAGAAAAAGGGGGAUAUCGUGUUGCAAAUUUUGGGGCAUAAUCAGCUUUUCUUGACAGAAUCAUUCUGCAUCGAUAAAGUACCAGAUUUUGUUUCUUUCUCUUCUCUCUCAGGCUUAUGACAGUAAGUAAGUAGUAUUAUUUGUUGAAUAUGAAUAAGAUGUUAACUUAUGACCGUCAUUUACAAAAGCGGAACCAAGGAUGUGCCUGUAACAUUCCAACCUGGGACCCAGAUGAAUUCUGGGAGCUCAUUUAAAUUUGCUUUGCUUGUGGUUACAUCUUUCACACAUUCACACCUGGAAGAAUUGGGUGUAACUAACUCUUGCAAGACAACUGCAGCAGCAGCAUCAUUAAUGUCGCGACGCUGACACUUGUACCACCCACGCCGAUCGGCUACCCUGCAGUCGCCCUCCUGACCUCCAGCGACCCCCAUUUGUCAGGUCACACACACCAUCUGGGCCUCUGGCGGCGUCGCCCUCCCGCUCCAUCAGUGACAUCGGCACCAGGGUCCCGCUUUUCCGGGCCUUCAAUUCAAUUGUGCCAAAUGUGCAUUUACACACAUCCUUUGUACUCGCAGCCCGAAAUGUGUGCGCACACAUUCCAAUGCACGUGUGUGUGUGUGUGUGUGAGGUUGUGUUUGUGUGUUUUUUGUUUGUGUGUGUGUGUGUG